rnacentral:rRNA from 1 species
AGUGAACGCUGGCGGUGGGCCUAACACAUGCAAGUCGAACGGCAGCACAGUAAGAGCUUGCUCUUACGGGUGGCGAGUGGCGGACGGGUGAGGAAUACAUCGGAAUCUACUUUUUCGUGGGGGAUAACGUAGGGAAACUUACGCUAAUACCGCAUACGACCUACGGGUGAAAGCAGGGGAUCUUCGGACCUUGCGCGAUUGAAUGAGCCGAUGUCGGAUUAGCUAGUUGGCGGGGUAAAGGCCCACCAAGGCGACGAUCCGUAGCUGGUCUGAGAGGAUGAUCAGCCACACUGGAACUGAGACACGGUCCAGACUCCUACGGGAGGCAGCAGUGGGGAUUAUCGGCCAAUGGGCGCAAGCCUGCUCCAGCAAUACCGCGUGGGUGAAGAAGGCCUUCGGGUUGAAAAGCCCUUUUGUUGGGAAAGAAAAGCAGCAGGUUAAGACCCCGCUGUUCUGACGGUACCCAAAGAAUAAGCACCGGCUAACUUCGU